AUUGAACGCUGGCGGCAGGCUUAACACAUGCAAGUCGAACGGUAACAUAAAGAAGCUUGCUUCUUUGAUGACGAGUGGCGGACGGGUGAGUAAUGCUUGGGAAUCUAGCUUAUGGAGGGGGAUAACUACGGGAAACUGUAGCUAAUACCGCGUAAUAUCGAAAGAUUAAAGUGUGGGACCUUCGGGCCACAUGCCAUAGGAUGAGCCCAAGUGGGAUUAGGUAGUUGGUGAGGUAAAGGCUCACCAAGCCGACGAUCUCUAGCUGGUCUGAGAGGAUGACCAGCCACACUGGGACUGAGACACGGCCCAGACUCCUACGGGAGGCAGCAGUGGGGAAUAUUGCGCAAUGGGGGCAACCCUGACGCAGCCAUGCCGCGUGAAUGAAGAAGGCCUUCGGGUUGUAAAGUUCUUUCGGUAGCGAGGAAGGCAUUUAGUUUAAUAGACUAAGUGAUUGACGUAA
rnacentral:rRNA from 1 species